GCAGAUGUAGCUCAGUAGGCAAGAGCGUUUCGCAAAUAUGAAAAUGUCGCUGGUUCAAGUCCAGCCGUCUGCG
rnacentral:tRNA from 1 species